rnacentral:rRNA from 1 species
GUAGUCCACGCCCUAAACGAUGUCGACUGGGUGUUGGGGAAGCGAUUUCCCAGUACCGUAGCUAACGCGUGAAGUCGACCGCCUGGGGAGUACGGCCGCAAGGUUAAAACUCAAAGGAAUUGACGGGGACCCGCACAAGCGGUGGAUGAUGUGGAUUAAUUCGAUGCAACGCGAACAACCUUACCUACCCUUGACAUGUCCCGAAGGCCCCUGAGAGGGGGUUGUGCCCGAAAGGGAACGGGAACACAGGUGCUGCAUGGCUGUCGUCAGCUCGUGUCGUGAGAUGUUGGGUUAAGUCCCGCAACGAGCGCAACCCUUGUCCCUAGUUGCUACGCAAGGGCACUCUAGGGAGACUGCCGGUGACAAACCGGA